rnacentral:rRNA from 1 species
AUACGGCCCAGACUCCUACGGGAGGCAGCAGUGGGGAAUAUUGCACAAUGGGCGCAAGCCUGAUGCAGCGACGCCGCGUGGGGGAUGAAGGCCUUCGGGUUGUAAACUCCUUUCGCUAGGGACGAAGCUUUGUUGUGACGGUACCUAGAUAAGAAGCACCGGCUAACUACGUGCCAGCAGCCGCGGUAAUACGUAGGGUGCGAGCGUUGUCCGGAAUUACUGGGCGUAAAGGGCUCGUAGGUGGUUUGUCGCGUCGUCUGUGAAAUUCUGGGGCUUAACUCCGGGCGUGCAGGCGAUACGGGCAUAACUUGAGUGCUGUAGGGGUAACUGGAAUUCCUGGUGUAGCGGUGAAAUGCGCAGAUAUCAGGAGGAACACCGAUGGCGAAGGCAGGUUACUGGGCAGUUACUGACGCUGAGGAGCGAAAGCAUGGGUAGCGAACAGGAUUAGAUACCCUGGUAGUCCAUGCCGUAAACGGUGGGCGCUAGGUGUGAGGGUCUUUCUACGACUUUCGUGCCGUAGCUAACGCAUUAAGCGCCCCGCCUGGGGAGUACGGCCGCAAGGCUAAAACUCAAAGGAAUUGACGGGGGCCCGCACAAGCGGCGGAGCAUGUGGAUUAAUUCGAUGCAACGCGAAGAACCUUACCUGGGCUUGACAUACACCAGAUUGGGCUAGAGAUAGUUCGUCCCUUUGUGGUUGGUGUACAGGUGGUGCAUGGUUGUCGUCAGCUCGUGUCGUGAGAUGUUGGGUUAAGUCCCGCAACGAGCGCAACCCUUGUCUUAUGUUGCCAGCAUUUGGUUGGGGACUCAUGAGAGACUGCCGGGGUUAACUCGGAGGAAGGUGGGGAUGACGUCAAAUCAUCAUGCCCCUUAUGUCCAGGGCUUCACACAUGCUACAAUGGUCGGUACAAUGCGCUGCGACACUGUGAGGUGGAGCGAAUCGCUGAAAGCCGGCCUUAGUUCGGAUUGGGGUCUGCAACUCGACCCCAUGAAGUCGGAGUCGCUAGUAAUCGCAGAUCAGCAACGCUGCGGUGAAUACGUUCCCGGGCCUUGUACACACCGCCCGUCACGUCAUGAAAGUUGGUAACACCCGAAGCCGGUGGCCCAAACUUGUUAGGGAGCCGUCGAAGGUGGGAUCGGCGAUUGGGACGAAGUCGUAACAAGGUACCCGUACCGGAAGGUGCGGGUG